AGCCACGCCGGGCUGCCUUGCAGCGGCCAGUCCGCUACCUGCAUAGCUGCAGCCGUGACUGUGACUGCGCCCUGCGCGGCCGGCGCCCGGGGGAGUCUUGUCGUCCACUUCUCCCCGAGACGGACACACUCCGCUGUCCGUGGGAGCGGCCGUCACUUCUGUGCCUGCUGUCGAGGAGUCCGGUACUAGUCGCUGCUCUCCACACGCCUGACCUCAUGCCCUGGGGCCGAGAUGCACUCCGACCCUGCUAGUUUUUCUCCAAGGGUUGAAGGCAACUACCAGUGCUCCACUGCCUCCCCGCCAUUCGCAGUCUCCCAAAGGUUGAGCACCUGCAUGGCAAUGAACAAACCCAUCUCCACUACGAACUUAAGUCAUGUGCCUCAUCAACAUGAUGUGUGUGCCACAAAUACAUAUACCAUCGAAUUACAAAAAAUGAACACAGUCUUACAACAAAUGUAAUCUUACAAUUAUCACUGUAUAAAAUCGACGAAAGAUGAAUGUCAUCUACAAGUACAAACCUUUCUGUGUUAAAAGAUAAGUAUGGUCAUUUUUUAUAUAGCUAUGAGUAUUGUGUUGUCAAAUGUGAAUUUUGUUUACCUGCU